rnacentral:rRNA from 1 species
GUACUGCAGGAAUAAGCAUCGGCUAACUCCGUGCCAGCAGCCGCGGUAAUACGGAGGAUGCAAGCGUUAUCCGGAUUCAUUGGGUUUAAAGGGUGCGCAGGCUGUAAAGCAAGUCAGUGGUGAAAGCCCUGGGCUUAACUCAGGGAUUGCCAUUGAAACUGUUUUACUAGAGUGUAGUAGAGGACGGCGGAAUGAGUUGUGUAGCGGUGAAAUGCAUAGAUAUAACUCAGAACACCUAUUGCGUAGGCAGCUGUCUAUACUACAACUGACGCUGAGGCACGAAAGCGUGGGGAGCGAACAGGAUUAGAUACCCUGGUAGUCCACGCUGUAAACGAUGAUCACUCGUUGUUGGCUACUUAGUAGUCAGUGACCAAGGGAAACCGAUAAGUGAUCCACCUGGGGAGUACGUCGGCAACGAUGAAACUCAAAGGAAUUGACGGGGGCCCGCACAAGCGGAGGAACAUGUGGUUUAAUUCGAUGAUACGCGAGGAACCUUACCUGGGCUUAAAUGCUGGCUGCAUUGGAGGGAAACCUUCAUUUCCUACGGGACCGCCAGCAAGGUGCUGCAUGGUUGUCGUCAGCUCGUGCCGUGAGGUGUCGGGUUAAGUCCCAUAACGAGCGCAACCCCUAUCGCUAGUUGCCAGCAUGUAAUGGUGGGGACUCUAGCGAGACUGCCGGUGUAAACCGGAGGAAGGUGGGGAUGACGUCAAAUCAGCACGGCCCUUACGUCCAGGGCUACACACGUGUUACAAUGGCCGGUACAAAGAGCAGCCACCUGGCGACAGGGCGCUAAUCUCUAAAACCGGUCUCAGUUCGGAUCGAAGUCUGCAAUUCGACUUCGUGAAGGUGGAUUCGCUAGUAAUCGCGCAUCAGCCAUGGCGCGGUGAAUAA